GACGAACGCUGGCGGCGUGCUUAACACAUGCAAGUCGAACGGAAAGGCCCUGCUUUUGUGGGGUGCUCGAGUGGCGAACGGGUGAGUAACACGUGAGUAACCUGCCCUUGACUUUGGGAUAACUUCAGGAAACUGGGGCUAAUACCGGAUAGGAGCUCCUGCUGCAUGGUGGGGGUUGGAAAGUUUCGGCGGUUGGGGAUGGACUCGCGGCUUAUCAGCUUGUUGGUGGGGUAGUGGCUUACCAAGGCUUUGACGGGUAGCCGGCUUGAGAGGGUGACCGGCCACAUUGGGACUGAGAUACGGCCCAGACUCCUACGGGAGGCAGCAGUGGGGAAUAUUGCACAAUGGGCGGAAGCCUGAUGCAGCAACGCCGCGUGCGGGAUGACGGCCUUCGGGUUGUAAACCGCUUCCGCCUGUGACGAAGCGUGAGUGACGGUAAUGGGUAAAGAAGCACCGGCUAACUACGUG
rnacentral:rRNA from 1 species